rnacentral:rRNA from 1 species
CCUACGGGUGGCAGCAGUGAGGAAUAUUGGUCAAUGGACGCAAGUCUGAACCAGCCAUGCCGCGUGCAGGAAGACGGCUCUAUGAGUUGUAAACUUCUUUUGUACGAGGGUAAACGCAGAUACGCGUAUCUGUCUGAAAGUAUCAUACCAAUCAGGAUCGGCUAACUCCGUGCCAGCAGCCGCGGUAAUACGGAGGAUUCAAGCGUUAUCCGGAUUUAUUGGGUUUAAAGGGUGCGUAGGCGGGAGGAUAAGUCAGAGGUGAAAGCCCGGGGCUCAACCUCGGAAUUGCCUCUGAUACUGUGCGGCUAGAGAGUAGGUGAGGUAGGCGGAAUGCAUGGUGUAGCGGUGAAAUGCUUAGAUAUCAUACAGAACACCGAUUGCGAAGGCAGCUUACCAGGCUACUUCUGACGUUGAGGCACGAAAGCGUGGGGAGCAAACAGGAUUAGAUACCCGAGUAGUC